UGAAACUAUAUGGGGGUUUAAAUUCGUGCGAAAUAGUUGAAGUAUAAGGCCACGGUUUGCCGAAUGGUAGAGGCACGCUUAAAAGUAACCAAUUAGUAGUGUAUGUUUCGUACAAAGAUAUAAUAAUUUUUCAUAACAAUUUGGUCGUAAAAGAGUUUUAUUUUAGAUAAAAAAAUACGGUAAAAUUGAUUAUGUUCGAUACAUUUGAUUAAAAUCGUGAAAACAAAAAAAAUAUUUCAAAUAUGUUGUGCAACUUCAACAAUCGUAGUGAUGUUUUUUAAGCGUGUAUGCAUUUGUGCAAUUGAAAAAAAAAAACAAAACAAAACAAAAAUCACUAAGUUGCGUAUUUCUAAUCGAAGUUUUGAUUGCCUGUAAAAGUAUAUGUUUCCCGAAAUUUAAUUGUGAUCUGGUUAAACUAUAGCGCUGGAUCGCGAUACUCGAGCAAGCUGUUGGAUGCAAAAUGAAGCUAGCCUACCGCUUUCGCUGCCUCCACCAGCAACUAGAGUUAGACGAGGAACAGAUUCGAGAACAAACAGUGACAUAAAUCAUGCUAAAAAGUACGAUCCAGCCUACAAAGCAGCAGCAAAGCUACAACUUCACUUCGCCACAUAACCGGUAUUAGAAAUUAUGCAGUGCUAAGAAUGCGAAAUAUUUACAGUUGCAUUGAACAGCACACUUUUUGUAGUGAGGAUAAUUUGUUUGAUAAUAAAACAUGAUUUAUUGGAGGACAGUGAGA